AUCUCCCCUUGACAUGGGUCGACCGGCGCAGAGAUGGUCCCGCGACGACAGGUGUGACGAGCGCAACCCUCGCCUUUAGUUGCCAGCGGGAUGUCAAGUCUCAUGGCCCUUAUGGGCUGGCUACAUACAUGGCGGUGACAUGGGAUGCCAGGCCGCGAGGGCGAGCCUCCCAAAAAGCCGUCUCAGUUCGGAUUGCACUGCAACUCGGGUGCAUGAAGGUGGAAUCGCUAGUAAUCGGGAUCAGCACGCCGCGGUGAAUACGUUCCCGGGCCUUGUACACACCGCCGUCACACCAUGGGANUUGGUUCUACCUUAAGCCAGUGCGGUAACCGCAAGGAGCUAGCCUGCCUG
rnacentral:rRNA from 1 species